UGGUUCUGGCAUCGAUGAAGAACGCAGCGAAAUGCGAUAAGUAAUGCGAAUUGCAGAAUUUCCGUGAGUCAUCGAAUCUUUGAACGCACAUUGCGCCCAUUGGUAUUCCGAUGGGCAUGCCUGUUCGAGCGUCAUUAUCAACCCUCAAGCCUGGCUUGGUGUUGGACGCGGUCACGAGAGUGAUCCGUCCCAAAGACAAUGACGGCGUCUGUUGGACCCUCAGUGCAAUGAGCUUUUCACCGAGCACGCACCGAGUUCUAAAGGACCAAUAGCCCGGUCUACCUUUUUUAAAACUUCUAAGGUUGACCUCGGAUCAGGUAGGGAUACCCGCUGA
rnacentral:misc_RNA from 1 species